UACAGGGGGGGCAAGCGUUGUUCGGAAUUACUGGGCGUAAAGGGCCAGUAGGCGGCCAACUAAGUCCGACGUGAAAUCCCAAAGCUUAACUUUGGAACUGCGUCGGAUACUGGAUGGCUUGAAUUCGGGAGAGGGAUGCAGAAUUCCAGGUGUAGCGGUGAAAUGCGUAGAUAUCUGGAGGAAUACCGGUGGCGAAGGCAGCAUCCUGGACCGACAUUGACGCUGAACGGCGAAAGCUUGGGGAGCAAACGGG
rnacentral:rRNA from 1 species